GAUGAACGCUGGCGGCGUGCUUAACACAUGCAAGUCGAACGAUGAAGGGGGAGCUUGCUCCUCUGGAUUAGUGGCGAACGGGUGAGUAACACGUGAGCAAUCUGCCCCUGACUCUGGGGUAAGCGCUGGAAACGGCGUCUAAUACCGGAUACGAGCCGAGCAGGCAUCUGCAUCGGUUGGAAAGAACUUCGGUCAGGGAUGAGCUCGCGGCCUAUCAGCUUGUUGGUGAGGUAAUGGCUCACCAAGGCGACGACGGGUAGCCGGCCUGAGAGGGUGACCGGCCACACUGGGACUGAGACACGGCCCAGACUCCUACGGGAGGCAGCAGUGGGGAAUAUUGCACAAUGGGCGGAAGCCUGAUGCAGCAACGCCGCGUGAGGGACGAAGGCCUUCGGGUUGUAAACCUCUUUUAGCAGGGAAGAAGCGAGAGUGACGGUACCUGCAGAAAAAGCACCGGCUAACUACGUGCCAGCCGCCGCCGUAA
rnacentral:rRNA from 1 species